GCUGAAGUUGUCGGUCCAGUUAAAUUAGAAAUUAUGACAGCGGGGAGUGGCACUUCAGGAUAAAUGUUCACCUUGGAGCACCUCCAGUUACGCGAUGAAUUCCAGAAAAUACUAUAUUCACCUGAAGAUGAUGACCACUAAAGUGCUUUGAAAGCAAAUUGCAAAAGGCCUGUUCCAAUGUUGGCAGCAAAUGCUACAGGUUUGGGGAGCUGGACCACUCCUUCAUGCCACAAUGCACAGUGUCUUCAACUUUUUAGCAAAUGUUAUGCCAGUAAUCUAUUAGCUGCCAAGAACUGGGUAAAGGCAGACUAGGCCCAAUUCCUUUUUUAUUUCAAUUCUAUUUUUUUUUUUAAGGUUUACAGAGUUCAUGAUUAUUUUGUGCUCUCUUUCUUGGACCUGGACUGACCUAGUUAAGAUUCAAAAAAGCCCUGAUGAUGGGGUACAACCCUUAUGAUCCUGUACAAGACAUGACAGUCCCUGAAGCUUUAUUCAUGCCAUUUUUAAAACUCUGUAGUCAUUUUCAUUUGCUAUGUUGUGUGAAAUACUGUUUUUACAAAAAGAUUAAUGUACCCUCUCUGAUAAAGUUCAAUUUGAACUGGAAACUUGUAUCUGUAAUGAAGUGUUUAAAGCAUAUGAAUAGCAAACAAGCUGAUAGAAAAGUCACCCAGGAGGAAAAAAUUCAUUAAAAAAAUAAAAAAAGCACCAACUGUGUGAUUAGUUUGUCAAUAAUUUCUUCAUAGUUUUUGUUAUGUUAUUACACUGUAUGG